CCAAGGCAAUGAUAAUUGCGGGCGCGUGCGUGUAGGAAGGCCGACCACUACAUAAGCUAAAACUAAAAGACUACGACUACAAGCCAAGCCGGAAGCGACUCGCUUCUAUUCUCGUUGGGAUUGGAUAUAGAUGGGGAAUCUAUAGAUCGUAGUAGUUCGCCAACCUCUCUAACUAACAUACGAUACAAUUUCACUUCACGGCACGGCCAAAGAAAGAGCUUCGCUCGGUGGGCCUUCCUACGCUGACGAAUGCCUCCUUUCUCUUCUCUGAAGUCUACAACAAAAAAUGAACCCGAAAUAGGCCAUGGACUUGGA
rnacentral:misc_RNA from 1 species